CUCUAAGGCUAGUUUAGUAUAUUUAAUUUGCGAUACCUCGUUGUGAAUCUUUAAACACUUGAUAUUACGUCGAAAUUUCCUUUAAAUGAAUAUAACGAAAUGAAAAUUAUACCCUAUAAAGCAGAGGUGGUGGUAAAUCCAGUUCAUUUUUACAUUGUUAAACUUUACCACGUGCAUUUUUACUCACUCCACAGUGUGUGCUGUAAAAUAAUGCAUCUGUGAAAUGAUGCAAUUUCUUUUUUUUACUACAUCUUAAAAGUGUUCUUUUAGAGUGGGUUUGAAUAUGAAAUACGGGGUGUCCCGUAUAAUAUUGGAUCGUGAAUAGCAUUAAACUGUGAUUUCCAGGAAGGAAUCAGAGAUGAGCCGUAACAAAUAUAAACAAACGACCUGGGGCCAAACGACAAAGGAACAAACAACUUAGAGUUAAAGACAAACGGCCAAAAACGUGACCUAGGGUAAAACGAUCUACUGUAAAACGACAAACGAAAGUGUUACAAUCGAG